rnacentral:lncRNA from 1 species
AGGGAAAAGAGGAAGCAAGAGCACCACCAUGAAGACGAAGCAGAGGUAGAUAGAUCCCAAGACGAACCAGAAGAAGAGGAACCAAAAGCAGAGGAACCAAAACCAGAAGAAGAAGAUCGCCACCACGUCUCAAGCCUCAGCAUUUUAUGAUCGCCCUGUUUGCAUAUCUCGAUCAUCAAACCGAAUCUCACAACAACAAAUCAACCAGAGGAAAUCUAUAAAGGUAGAGAAGCUUUACACCAACGAUGAAUCAGAGAAUCGAAGGCGAUGAGGGUUAUGCUUUCUUGUUCGACAAGAGAACGAACUAAGGACAUUGAUUUGUAGGGUUUAGAAGAAAAAGAAGAAGAAGAAGAAGAAGAAGAAGAAGAAGAAGAAGCGUUGAGUUUAAGCGUUGAGAGAAACAGAGAAUUUUGAUGUCUCGAUCAAAAGGAAGAGCGGAGAAGAAGCGUUGAGUCGAGGAAAGUGUAAAUUUUUAAUAUUUAUAAGCAAAAUUCAUUAAGAGGUUUAAAAAGAAAAGGAAAUUGAUAAUAUCUCAAUCAUAACGGUUAUAUUAAUUUGAGUUUAAGGAAAUCAAUAUCGUGAUUUUGUUUUUGUUAAUUUUCUUCCUCACAACCGUAACUAGGCCUGGGCAAAAUAUCCGAACCCGAAUACCCGAACCGAAUCCGACCUGUAAUACCCGAACCCGUUUUACUUCGGUUUUUAAGAAAUACCCGAUCGGUUUUUAUUCUCAAUACCCAAUAGGUAUCAGGUAUUUACCCGAACCGAACCCGCAUACCCGUGGGUACUUUUAAGUACUUGAACACAUGUAUGUAGUAAUAGGUUUCCUUACCUGUAAAGAAGUUCAUUGAUGAGUUUAAGUUACUGAGGCAACUUCAUCUCUGUCAUUGUUUUUAAAAAUUGUUUAAAAUUGUUUUUAGUUUUUAAAAGGUUUGGUUUUAUGUAACAGGUCAUGAUGUAUGUAUAAUCUUGGUUAAAUGUUGCCAUCUUGGGAUGAUUCUUCUUUCUUAGUUUCUUCCAUUUAUCAACUCAAAUAUUUUCAUGUUCACUUUCAUUAAUUUAAGACUUUAAGUUAUGCUUUUGUUAGUUUGGUUUCUUAUUUUGUCAGUGACUUGUUUGAUUUUAAUCUCUGGAAUGUUCAAAACUUGGUUAAAUUUGUUUACUAGUAAUAUGUUCUUUCAAAAAUUUGUUAGUUUUGACAAAUAGUUUCGGACUUAUGGGUACUUUGGGUAAUUUCGGGUCGGAUUUUGGUAUGUACUACUCAUACCCAAAUAUAUUUUGGGUAAUUUUUGGAUCUCUUAAAUCAUUACCCAAAGUACUUGUACCCGAAAAGGAACCGAACCGAACCCGAUCCAAAGUUUUAUAAAUACCUAUUAGGUUCCUAAAUUACUAACCCCGAAAUACCCGAACCCGAAAAACCCGACCCGAAUACCCAAAUGCCCAUGCCUAACCGUAACAACUUAAUUUCAAUGUGUAAAAAUAUUUUUGAAUCUUGUUAAUUUUAAAAGAGAAUUUAGCGAAAAUCAAAGAUAUAUGUUUAACCCGUUAGUUAUAUACUAUUAACAAAUUGAAAAAUCCUACAACUAUUUUAUUCACCUAUUCUUGAGGAGUUAUUUUACUAAUUGUUUUUAUGAAAAAAAAUGUAAAUUAUCAAACCUAGUUUUAUAUAAUAAGUUUCUCCAUUACACUAGGCAUGACCACGGUUACGAUUAUCACGGUUACGAUUUAUUAAUCAUCGAUUACGGUUAUAAAUUUUUUUAAACCAUAAUCUUAAUUUUUUUAUAUAAGGUUAAAACUGUUACGGUUAUAUACGAUUACGGUUAAAUACGGUUGCAAUUAUUUGAUGAUUAUGAUAUAGAUAAUAUUAUAAACAAAAUUUUAUAUUUUCUUACCAUAUCAAAUAAUGUUUAUUUACAAUAUGAAAAUAAAGGUAUUUAUAUGAUUCAAAUAUUUAUAGUAAAUUAGUUAAAAAUGAUUUUUGUUUAAUCAAACACAAUUACAAUUAAAUAAAUUAAUGGUUAUGAACCUAAAAAUAUUGAAAAUAUUUUUUUUUAUUUGAAUAAUGAAAAUGAGUAGUAGAGUGGAUUAGAAUUACUAGUUGAUACAUUAAACCAUUUAAAACAUUAUUUUAAUGAAAUAAUACGAUAAAUAGUAACCUCACUAGUUGAAACAAAAAUCAAAGAUAAACAAAUUUUGGAUGAUUGAGAACAGCAGAAUCAUUCCUAUAACAUUCACAAUCUUAACACCAACAUUGUCUUCAACUCAUCAAAGCAUCGCUAAGCUCCAGACAAGCCAAGAAAGAAAAAGAGAAAAACAGAUGGACUAGCGCGCAUUAACCAUCAUUACUCCAACUUCUCGAGUUCUGACAUCCUUUCGAUGAUCGCCUGCAUGUAUAAAUUUGUUGCCAGCAUAUAAAAGUUUAGCGGUUGAGCAAAGGAAUGUGUGAGAGAAAGAGGAAAGCUUAAAACAAAAAUCCAUACCCUUUUGCUUGUUUCUUGGAGCUCCCCAGCAAGAAUGAAUUCAUCGAGUAUCAGAUACACCUUUUAAUUGAAAUCACAGAGAAUUAGUAGCAAAUAUUAGAGUACAAAAACAGAUCAAAUCUAGACACACAGAAGCAUCCACAUAGUUAAACACAAAUGGGGAAUGCUUUUGAGAAUGCUGCAGAUAUUUAUUUAUCUAACGGGUCAUGAUGGUCAGCUUAGAAUUGGGAUGUAUACAAUGAGACGAGAACGAAGAUAGCUUUUGAUUUUAGCAAACACAAGCUUUCAUUUUGUCGACCCUUAGAAGCUUCAUGGAUGCAAAUCUUCAUUUUUCCCUUAUAAACAUUUAGUUCAAAGCUUCUAAGCAGAGAAAUGACGAAGCAACAUCGGUUUAUUCGAAAUAAGUAUACAACAUCCCCGGUUUAUUCGAAAUAAGGGUUAAAGGAUCCAAAAGAAGCAGUUUGAGAAAAUAGAUAUAAAAAGAGUAAGAGCAACAAAAGGAGUAAGCUAACGUAAAAUAUCCAUCGAAAAUACACCUCCUUACUUGAAACUCUAAAAAAUAUGUCGUUUACUUCAAUAAAUACUACAAUUUUUGUUCAGCCUCCAUAACUCGAUAGAGAGAAAAACGAUUAACUUAUAGCUUCUAACAUGUUUACAAAAUUUUAUUUGAAUACUAAUCUUUGUGCUUCAUGUUAUUCAUCGUCAUAUAAUUUUUCUUUCCUCUUGGUGUAGUGCUUAUUUAGAAAGCAAUAUAAAAAAAAUUCCUACAGCUUUGUUAACUAACCUUACUUCACCUUUUAAAUCAGUAUUAUUCUUUAAUUUUAUUUUAUUUUAUUUUCAAUUUUGGUAAAUUUGGAAUAACUUUUUCUUCUUCUAAUUAUUACAAUUGCUAAUUAUUGAAGAUGAUCUUAUAAAAGACGUUAAGUUGGACUUGGAAAAUAUGGAAAUAUCCUGUAAACUUAAAAUAUCAAGUAUAUAACUUGGAAAACAUCAACAACUACCAUUGAAUAACGUAAAUCAGUAUAGACCAUAAAGAGAGUUUGAUGCUAGUUCUGGUUUGUUUUCAACGUAUAUAAAUUUAACAACAUGAUUUAGUAAAUUUACUAAAAAUGAUAAUUUUACUUAAAUUAUAAAAAACCUUAAAACCUAAGCGUUAAAUCUUUUACGAUACGUGAUAACAUGUUGAACUUAUACACCACUGACGGACCACAAAGGGAUUGGAUGCUCGGCCCAGUUUGUUUUCAACGUAUUAAAAUUUAACACUUAGAUUCUACCAAAAAAUUAAAACUAUUUUUACUUGAAAUUUGAUUUAAAGAACCUUGAUAUUUAGUUGUAAAUCAGAAAAAUAGAAAUUAAUACAUAAAAUCUUUUUUUCUUUAUGUAUCUUUUUAUAUCGAAAUCAUUUUUUCUUAAUUUUUUUUUUUUUUUAAUUAGAAAAGUUGAGAUAUACCUGUAAUAUUAAGUAUCUGAAGGUUGAGGCGACUCAGUCCGUGGUCGUUUCUGAAGUUUGCUACACGUAAAUAGAAAACAAACCCAUUCAGUUCUGUAAGUUGCAGACAGGUAAUAAUAAGUAUAUAUGUGGUCGAGAAGCAACAUGAGCUCAGUAGUUAUAAAAUAAAACAAUGCCAAUGGAAACUCGCAUAUCAAAUCAGUAAUAUACCUCAGGUUAUAAAUGUAGUAAUGCUGAUGGGUUUGAUAAUUGUGGGGAAGUCCUCUUGAUCCAAAUCUUCAUGAUAAUAGAGAACAACAUCAAUGACCUGCAAAGACACUAAUAACCAAAAUCAAAAGCAAGAGAACAACAACAACAGAGAAGUAGAAACUAGUAGCUCACCUAUGAGAUUCAGUUCUUUAAGUUGCAGACAGGUAAUAAUAAGUUUAUAUGUGAUCGAGAAGCAACAUGAGCUCAGUAGUAAUAAAAUAAAACAAUGCCAAUGGAAACUCGCAAAUCAAAACAGUAUACCUCAGGUUAUGAAUGUAGUAAUGCUGAUGCUACAUGAUCCUUCUUCUUUUUGAUAAUUGUGAGGAAGUCCUCUUGAUCAAAUCUUCAUGAACUAUAGAGAACAUCAAUGACCUGCAAAGAAGAGAACAACAACAGAGAACAACAUCAAAGACCUGCAAAGACAAAAUCAAAAACAAGAGAACAAACAACAGAGAAGUAACCAAGAACAAACAUACCUCCUCCAAUCAAAAGGUCUGAAACUUCCUUGUCUGCAGAUCCAAAAUCGUAUAUGCAUAUAUACACACACCAAUGAGAUUCAGUUCUGUAUGUUGCAAACAGGUAAUAUCAAUUCUUUAUGUGGUCGAGAAGCAACAUGAGCUAUCAAAUAAAACAGAUGCCAAACUCGCAAAUCAGAUCAGUAUACCUCAGGUUAUAAAUGUAGUAAUGCUGAUGGUACAUGAUCCUUCUCCUUUUUGAUAAUUGUGAGGAAGUCCUCUUGAUCAAAUCUUCAUGAUAAUAGAUAAGAACAUCAAUGACAAAGACAAUGUAUAUAUACUAAUAACCAAAAUCAAAAACAAGAGAACAACAACAACAGAGAAGUAGAAACUAAUAGCUCACCAAGAACAAGCAUACCUCCUCCUAUCAAAAGGCCUGAAAAACCAUAUAAGAAUCUUAAGACCAACAUUGGCUUCCAUCAAUACGCUUAUGAUAUAUAUAAAGGAGACAGAGAGAAGCAAAUACGUGAAUCUUAAGACCAACAUUGGCUUCCAUCAAUACGCUUAUGAUAUAUAUAAAGGAGACAGAGAGAAGCAAAUACGUGAAUCUUAAGACCAACAUUGGCUUCCAUCAAUACGCUUAUGAGAUUGUAAUUCCAAACAAACUGUAUCAAUCAUAUACUCUUAUGAGACUGUAUUUCCAAACAAACUGGACGCAAAUCAAAUCAAAUCAAUUGUAAUUCCAAAAGGCCAACAUGAUUGAUGAACUAAAUAGUAUCACAAAUUGGCUUGCAUCAAUCGUAUACUCUUAUGAGAUUCAGUUCUGUAUGUAGCAGACAUAAAAGUUCUCAACUUCUAAGACACAAGACAUAAAAACCAGACCAUAUGCAGACAGAGGAACAAGAAGAGAUAGAGCGGUACCUUGAAGGGAAAAGAGGAAGCAAGAGCACCACCAUGAGGACGAAGCAGAGGUUAGAUAGAUCCAAAAACGAACCAGAAGAAGAGAGAUCAAAAGCCUCGAUCAUCACCACCACGUCUCAAGCCUCAGCACCCUAUGAUCAUCAAACUAAAUUGUAUAAAUAAUAAAUAAUAAGAGAUUCCUGUUUUUGUAUUUUACAAUAUUGAGUAACACAACAUGGUGGAAGCAAGAGCACCACGUCUCAUGAGGACGAAGCAGAGGUAGAUAGAUCCCAAAAGCCUCGAUCAUCACAACCACGUCUCAAGCCUCAGCAUUCUAUGAUCGCCACCACGUCUCAAGCCUCAGCACCCUAUGAUCGCCGUGUUGCAUAUCUCGAUCAUCAACGAGAGGAAAGCUAUAAAGUUUGAAGCUUUUUCACCGAAGAUGAAUCAGAGAAUCGAAGGAGAAGAGGGAACGAACUUAAGAGAUUGAUUUGUAGGGUUUAGAAAGAAGAAGAAGAAAGAACGGAGAAGAAGAAGUGAGAAACAGAGAAUUUUGAUUUCUCGAUCUCGGUUUGAGUUGAGAGAAUUAAAGAGUUAAUUUUUAAUAUUUAUAAGCGAAAUUAAUUAAGAGGUUAAUUAAAAGAAAAGGAAAUUGACAACGGUUAUAUUAAUAGGAGUGUAAGGAAAUCAAUACCGAGAUUUUGUUUCUGUUAAAUUUUCUUCAUCAUAACGGUAACAAUUUAAUUUCAAUAUGUAAAACGUUUUGAACCUUUUUAAUUUUAAAAGAGAAUUUGGCAAAAAAUAUAUUUUUUUAAACCGUUAGUUAUGUUAUUAACUAAUUGAACUAUUUUAUUGACCUAUUCUUGAGGAGCUAUUUUACUAAUUGUAAAUUAUCAGACCAAGUUUUAUAUAAUAAGUUUCUCCAUUACAUUAGGCAUGACAACGGCUACGGUUUGUUGACCAUCAAUUACGGUUAUAAAUUUUCUUUAACCAUAACUUUAACCUUUAUAUAUACGGUUAAAACGGUUACGGUUAUAUACGGUUAUAGUUAAAUCCGGUUACGGUUAAAUACGUUUACGGUUAUUUGAUGAUUAUAAUAUAGAUAAUCAUAUAUAUAAAAGUAAGGUUUCACUCUCUACUUAUUGGUGGAAAAAUAUUUAAGGCUUAAUUUUUUUUUUUUAAAUAAAUAAAGAAAUGUUUAUGACAAUCAUUCAAUAAAAAAUUUAAUUACACUAUAAGUUAUAAUCAAAUGGCAAAGAAGAUAAAAGAACUUAAUCAUAUAUCAUUCAACAAAAUAAAUAAAUGUUUAUGAUAAUCAUUCAAUAGAAAAUUUAAUUACAGUAUAAGUUAUAAUCAAAUGGCAAAGAAAAUAAAAGGACUUAAUCAUAUAUCAUUCAACAAAAUAAAUAAAUAAAUAAAUGUUUAUGACAAUCAUUCAAUACAAAAUUUAAGUACACUAUAAGUUAUAAUCAAAUGGCAAAGAAAAUGAAAGUACUUAAUCAUAUAUCAUACAACAAAUUUUAUAAGGCUUAUUGGUGGAAAAUUAUUUAAAAUCAUAUAUAUAAAAGUAAGGUUUCACUCUCUUUAUUGUUCCAUUUUGUAUUUAUUUUUAAAAUAUAAUAUUUAUUUUUAAUUAAACCAAAAAAACAUAUUUAAUCAUAUACAUUAAUCCAUACUUUAGAUUCACACUUUACUACUAAAAUUAAACUGAAAAUUAUAUAAAUUUCCAAAGACUAUUGGUUUUCUUUAUUGAAUUCCAAUUAAACACACUAUAAAUUAUAAUUAUAACUCCUCUAAUUAAAUUAUUUUAAAAAUUUAACUUACAUCACUUCUUAUCAUAUAAAUAGUCAUUCUCACAUCCUUCUCUACCAUAUCUCAUAUCUUCAUUAUUCUCUUUGUUUUUUUUUUAAAAGUUCUUGCAUGGGGUGAAAACUCAUUUAAAAUAUCAUUGUAAGAGUUUGAUUAAUUAUUUAGUUUAAACUUUUGUUUUCAAUUUUAUUUAUUUUUUGUUUUUAUGUAUUUCUUUAUGUCUUCAUUUUUUUAUAUUUUUAAAUGUAAUACAUAUGUAUAAUAAUAUUUUAUGCUUUUUUUUUUCGUCAAACAAAUAAUUAUAUUUGAUAAUUGUGAAAAUCAUAAUACAAAUGUUCUGAAAGCCAUGGAGGCGGGUUCAAAAAAUCAGAAUAAAAAGGAACCAUAUUACAACCAUAAGAAGCAAGCACAUGAGCCACUUUGUUACAAUGUCUAUUACAAAAUUCAAAAGAAAUAUUGGAGAACUUAGUAGCCCACACAAUAAUAUUUUAUGCUUAUAAGAAAAUCAAACUAAAGAAACCAUCUUCAUUAUUUUACAUUGGAUGUUUGUUUCUUUCUCACAUAUUCAUGUAUAUUUAUUUUAAUUUCAAAAGUAUGUAAUUUUUUAACAAAAUAAACUUUUUGUUAUAUAAUUAUCAAACCAAUUUGUAAGACAUUCUUUUAAGAAUAAUGAUCCUUAUAUUUAGUUUGUGAUUCAACAUGUAAUAAUAUAAACAACAUAAUAAUUUUUGUUAACUUUGAAUUUUAUACUUGAUUUCCUAUAUAAAAAAAAAUUUCAUAUUCAAUUUUCUAUCUAUUAUAUAUACUACGACGAUGAAAAAUAUAAUUAAACCUAGAGAUAUAGCUUAAAUUAAGAGGAAUAUAAAAACAAAUUAAAAAUAAAAUUAUUCUUUGGGAAUUUUUUAAGGUUUCUCCNNNNNNNNNNNNNNNNNNNNNNNNNNNNNNNNNNNNNNNNNNNNNNNNNNNNNNNNNNNNNNNNNNNNNNNNNNNNNNNNNNNNNNNNNNNNNNNNNNNNUAUUUUUAAUUAAACCAAAUAUCUAACACAUUUAGUCAUAUACUUUAAUUCAUACUUGAAAUCCACGCUUUACUAUUAAAUUGUAACUUAAAUUAUAUAAUCUUUCAAUUGACUAUUUGUUUCCUCCAUUCAAUUUCAGUUAACACACUAUAAAAUAUAAUUAUAACUCCUCUAAUUUAAUUAUUUUAGAAUUAUAACUUACAUCAUAUUUUAUCCUAUAAAUAUUCAUUGUUACAUCCUCGUCCACCAUAUCUGAUAUUCUCAAUAUUUCUUUAUUUAAUUUAUAAUGUUCUUGCAUGGGUUGAAAGCUCAAUUAAGAUAUCAUUGUAAGAGCUUGAUUAUAUAUUUGGUUAAAACUUUUGUUUUCAAUUAUAUUUCUUCUUUAUUUUAUGUACUUCUUCAUUUUUUCAUUGUUUUAUACUAUUAAAUAUAUAAUACAUAUGUAUAAUAAUAUUUUAUGGCUAUAAGGAAAUUACUUUAUCGAUGGGAUUCAAAACUAUUGAUUUCUGACCAUCGCACCAUAAGAAAAUCAAGCUAAAUAAACCAUCUUCAUUGUUUUACUUUAUAUGUUUUUUUCUUUCUCACAAAUUCAUGUAUAUUUAUUUUAUUUUCAAAGUAUGUAAUUAUUUUAACAAAAUAAUUUUUGGUUAUAUUCAAACCAAUUUGUAAGACAUUGAAAUAAAGAAAAAUUUUAUACACAAAUAAAGGUAAUUUGUGUGUAUAUUUAUAAGUUUACACACAUAUAUGGAUAAAUUUUAACAUUUUUAGUGGUUGUUUUGAUAAAGUUUGAAAAGGGGGUAAAUUUAAAAAGUGGUAUUUUUAAAAGGGUAUUUUCUAAAUUCUCCCAAAAUCAUUCCUAUUUUUAUCAUUAACAAUAUUAUUGUUUUAUCAAAAAAUACUUAAAAGCACAAAAAAAAUUACUAUCAAAAUUGAACAAUUAAUCAACGAAUAAAUUCAAAAGAUAUGGAUGUAUGCUUCUAUUGUAUGAUUUAAAUAAAUAAAAUGUAAAAAUGUCAUAAACAUUAAAAUUUAUUUAAUCUAUUUUUAUAAGUAAUAAAUAAAUUAAAAUAAUUAAAUAAAUAUACAACAACCCGCGCAUAUGCGCGGGAAAUUACCUAGUAUAUAUAAACAAAGUUUUAUAUUUUCUUACCAUAUCAAAUAAUGUUUAUUUUCAAUAUGAAAUAAAGGUAUUUAUAUGAUUCAAAUAUUUAUAGUAAAUUAGUUAAAAAUUAUUUUUAAUUAAUUAAAAACAACUACAAUUAAAUAAAUUAAUGGUUAUGAACCUAAAAUUAUUUAAAAUAAAUUAUUUUUGAUUUGAAUAAUGAAAAUGAGCAGUAGAGUGAAUUAGAAUUACUAGUUGACACAUUAAACCAUUUAAAACAUUAUUUUAAUGAAAUAAUUUUUAUUAAAGGUUAACCAUAUGGUUAUGGUUGAUAACGGUUACUUUUUAUAACCAUGACUAAUUUAUUUUUACGGUUAACGGUUACAAAUUUUAACUGUUUUAUACGGUUACGGUUUAAAAAUAGUUCAGUUACGGGUAAAUUACGGUUAAUAUUAGAUUUUGGUCAUGCCUACAUUAAACUUAAAGUAAUGGAACGAUAAUAUUGUGGCUUUGUAAACUUAUUUUUCAUAUUUUAUACCGAAUUAAAGUAUCAAGACCGACAUAUAAAUUAUACAAAGAUUGGCGAAUGGCACAGAGUUAUUAGCAUACCGGAUUUACUGAUAUUUGUAAGUUUUUAUUUAAUCUAAUUAUUUAAUUCGAUUUAUUAUUUGAUAUUUGUAAUUUUUAAUUUAUAUAAAUAUUCAAGUUUUUGUAAAAAAUAAUAAAAUUUUAAUUAUUAAAAAACUUAUUUUACCAAAAUCAUCGAGAAUUUAUGGACAAGAAAAACAAAGCAAAACUCGUAAUCGCUCAUAAUUAAUUGUCGGCUUCAUCGUCCUUUUGCUUCUUCUUCCACCAAAAUUAACUUUUUCCAGUAACGAAGCUAAAUUAAAAUUCGUUAUUAGGGUUCUGCUCCUACUACGCCGUAAUUUUGAUUCCUUUAGUUUUUUGAUUUCAGGGUCGAUAUGGAGAUUGAGAGAAACGUUUCAGUCCCUGGUAAGAAGAAUCUAGUUAAAGUCGAGUUCAAGCUUGGGACAGAGAGCUACAUCAUUGAUUCAUCAAACAAGGGUGAUACUGUAUUGGACCAAUUGGUUUCGAUGAAAGUUGAAAGUAUGAAGAUACUUAAAGAUUUUAUCACAAAGCAUAAUGUUCCAGAUGAUGAUGAUGUCCCCGACCAAAUCUUGUCUGAUGAUGAAGAAGGUGAUGAUGUUGCUUCUCCUGUAAUAUGUCCUGUGAAACCUAAGAAGACAAAGAUUUGAGUUCGUUUUUAGUUAUCACUACUGUCUUGUUAGCUGGUGAUUUGAUCUUGAACCUUUGUCAAAUUUUGUUAACAGUUUUGGGGUUUUCUAGAGAGAAUUAUGAGGUUUUGGAUCUUGCUAGUUGGAAUUUAGAAAUGGUGUUACUGAGUUUAUUACUGGAGAUAGGUGAUUGCAUUGCUUGAGAAGAGCAAAUCCAUUGAAUGAUGCAGUUUCUUAUCUCUGACGGAUAUAGUUGAGUUAUUCAAUAGCUCUACAUGGAACUUCAUCGAGACUCUUAGAACACUAAAGGGAAAUGCUUGACUCGUAUUAUGGUAUUAGGGGUAUUGGACAAGAAACGUAGAUGAUACAUAUUUCCUGUGAGUCUUGUGUUUAGAUAUUGUUUAGUGUUGUGUUCAAUUGAGUGGUAGACUUUGAACCUCUGUUAAUUUUGCUGUUUGUGCAACAGUUUUGUUUGUCUAAGAAGAAUAUGAUAACUUGGGUAAAACUAUGGAAAUGGGGUUUCUAAAUUCUUACUUGGAGGUUGACUGUGUUGUGAAGAGCAAAGCAUUGAGAGUUCAUUAUCUUGUUGAAGAGCUUGGGAGCUUUAGUGAGACUGGAAGAGCUUUAAGAGAACCAGAGGAUAAUGCUUGACUCGAUAUACUUAACAGAACCAUGGUAUUAAUGGAAUUAGAUAAAUGACUGAUAGGUUCUGGUUUAUUGGUUAGUGUUUGUGUUUAUGUGCUCGAUUGAUUUGGGAACUAGUAAAGUCUCUCCUGGUUAAGUUGCGUUUGCUAGCUCAGUAAGUGUAACUUACUAGAAUUGCAGAGUUGGGUGGUUAGAAAAGAUACAUGACUGAUAAGCCAUGACGGAUAGUGUUUGUUUAACUUACUAGAGUUGCAGAGUUGGGUAGUUAGAAAAGAGAUACAUGACGGAGAACCCCUGGUUUAUCUGUAUUGGUUAGUCACUUACCGUUAGUGUAUGUGUUCAUGUGUGCUUAGAUAUUGUAGGACCUUGCAAAGUGUCUCUCUGUAAAGAUGUGUUUUGCCAGCUCAGUAAGUCUUACUUGUUAGAGUUGAAGAGUUGGGGUUGGUAAGAAAAGUUCUCGUGUUGUUCCUGUGUUAAUUCACUGCAAUAUAAGAGUUUCUAGGACCUGAUGAAUUAGGACCAAUGGAAGACAGAGAUGGUUUGGGCAAUAGCCAAGGCCAGAGACAUGGGCUAAUGAAUAGUUCACCGAUGAUCUUUAAAGCUGUUUCAUAAAUCAAUUUAUCAAAGAAAGUUGGAUUUUGUUCACAUUCCUCACGAUUAGUCUUUCUAUUUUGUUGAUAAUUUGACAGUUACUAUAGUUAAGUAUCCUCUCAGACUCAGAUCGUAUAUUUGUGAUGUGAUACCGAAGUUCUGCGAAACAACCAUUUUAUACAGAAUUCAAUGUCUGCGAUAAAUAGAAACCUCACUAGUUGAAACGAAAAUCACAGAUAAACAAAUUUUGGAUGAAUGAAAACAGCAGAAUCAUUCCUAUAUCAUUCACAAUCUUAACACCAACAUUGUCUUCAACUCAUCAAAGCAUCGCUAAGCUCCAGCCACGCCACGAAAUAAAAAGAGAAAAACAGAUGGACUAGCACGCAUUAACCAUUACUACUCCAUCUUCUCGAGUUCUGACAUCCUUUCGAUGAUCGCCUGCAAGUAAAAAUUUGUUGCCAGCAUAUAAAAAGUUUAGCGGUUGAGCAAAGGAAUGUGUUAGUGAAAGAGGAAAGCCUGAAACAAAAAUCCAUACCCUUUUGCUUGUUUCUUGGAGCUCCCCAGCAAGAAUGAAUUCAUCGAGUAUCAGAUACACCUUUUAAAUGAAUCACAGAGAAUUGAUAGCAAGUAUUAGAGUACAAAAACAGAUCAAAUCUAGACACACAGAAGCAUCCACAUAGUUAGACACAAAUGGGGAAUGCAGAUAUAUAUUUAUCUAACGGGUCAUGAUGGUCAGCUUAGAAUUGGGAUGAAUACAAUGAGACGAGAACGAAGCUAGCUUUUGAUUUUAGCAAACACAAGCUUUCAUUUGAUAGACCGUUAGAAGCAUCUUGGAUAAAAAUCUUCAGAUUACCCUUAAAAACAUUUACACUAAACUUGUUCAAAGCACCUAAGUAGAGAAAUGAUGAAGCAAAAAUCCCAGGUUUAUUCGAAAUCAGUGGUUAUACAGCAUCAUAAGCUAAACUUUAAGGGUUAAAGGAUCCAAAGAAGCAGUUUUUGAGAAACUAAAUAUAAAAAGAGUAAGAGCAACAAAAGAGGUUUGGUACCUUGUGGAAAUUAAACACCAAAUCUAGCUCACAGACAUUGCUGAAGAAAUGGUCCAAAAUCUCCACAAACAAAUGGAUACACUCCAGGUAAGCCAACUCAUUUUCGGUUAUAUCCACGCACACGGAGAAAAACAAUCUAGUAUAUUACCUUGUGUGUUCUAAACUGAAAAUAGUUGCAGAACAGUUUUCUCAUUCUAGCUCACAGAACAAUAUUGGUUUCUUAAUCACCAUUUCAUGUCUCAUAAGACACAUAUCUACUUCUCUAUACAGAUAUUGAAUGAGUUGGAUUACUUCUACCUCAGCUUAUAACAACAUCUCAAACAACAACUAAUACCUCAACCAGAGAAACUUCGCAGAUUCGAAUUCGACAGAGCAAUGCUCCUAUACUGUGCUAGUAUCAACAGCCCUAAAUAUCAUAUACAAAACCUGGAUUAAGAAUCAUAUGCAUUCCUACAAUCUUGGUUCUUACUCACCUAAUUUUCAUGUCUCAUUAAGGUUUUUUCAAGUUCUCUAUAAAGAUCUUAAUACUAGAAAACUCAGCUCCAAUGCCUCAACUGAAGAAAUUUUUCAUAAUAUCUACAAAAGCAAUGGUUUUUUCAAUCAAAUCUACCAUAUAGUCUCUGGAGAACCCUAAUCUCAAUUGCGACUUUUAUGUUUAAGAUUGAAAACUUUUAAACCAAAAUCGGCUUUGUUGGUUAAAACCGAUCUUUCUAGAAUUUUAAGUUUUCGAUUUUGAACCAAACGUAAAAAAGUCCGUCGAAAAUACAACUCCUUACUUGAAAUCAUACCGUUUGUGUUCAGCCUCCAUAACUCCAUAGAGAGAAAAACGAUUAGCUUAGCUUCUAUCAUGAUUUAAAAAUUAUAUUUGAAUACUAAUCUUUGUGUUCAUGUUAAUUCAUCAUCGUAUAAUUUUUCUUUCAUGUUCGUGUAGUGUUUAUUUAGGAAGCAAGAUAAACAAUUCCUACAGCUUUGUCUAACCUUACUUCACCUUUUGAAUCAGUUAUAUUCUCUAAGUUUAUUUGUUUUAUUUUCAUUGGAAUAAUUUUCUAAUUAUUACGUUUGCUAAUUAUUGAACAUGAUCUUAUAAAAGUCGUUACGUCGGGCUUGGAAAACAUGGAAAUAUCUUGUAAACUUAAAAUAUCAUGUGUCGCCAAUAAAUAAUUAUAUAAGUAUGUAGAUUGGAAAACAUCAACAAAUCUCAUUGAAUAACACAAAUCAGUAUGAAAGAGUUCGAUGUUAGGUCCGGUUUGUUUUCAACAUAUUUAAACUUUUCAAAUUUUGUAUGUUAUAACUUUUCAAAAUCAAAAAUUUACUUAAAAGUUAUAACUUUACUUAAAUUAUAAAAAACCUUAAACCUAAGCGUUAAAUUUUUUACAAUACGUGAUAGCAUGUUGAACUUACACACCACUGACGGACCACAAAGGGACUGGAUGCUCGGCCCGAUUUGUUUUCAACGUAUUAAAAUUUAACACUUAGAUUCAACCAAAAAAAGAUCAUAUUUAAUUAUUAAAAAUUAAAACUAUUUUUACUUGAAAUUUGAAUUUAAAAACCUUGAUAUUUAGUUGUAAAACAGGAAUAUAGAAAUGUAAUUCAUAAAAUAUUUUUUUCUUUAUGUAUCUUUUUAUAUCGAAAUCAAUUUUUCUUAAUUUAUUUAAUUUUUUAAAAGUUAGAAAAGUUGAGAUAUUACCUGUGAUAUUUAAGAAUCCUGAAGGCUACAGCGACUCAAACGGUGGUCGUUUCUGAAUUUUGCUAAACGUAAUACAAAAACAAACCCAUCAGCGCAUUUCAUAAUUGUCAAAAAAUCAAAUUACUUUGAUAAAACUAAAGACAACUAUCACGAACCUGCUUAUAAAUAUUCUCCUAGUCUCUAAUGACUGAAGAAAACAGAGGAUCGAUGGAGAUCAUCAUAAAGACAUUCAUCGAGCCUUGAGUCACCAUCGAACCUUCUCCACCCUGAAACAAAAGCAUAAGACUCAGUUCAAAACAAAGAGAUGAAUGAUAAAUAUGAUACGUGAAUCACAAGGCUAUAACAUGUUUGAUGAUGAACUAAAAAGUACACAAAAUGGCUUGCAUUUGCAUCAAUCCAAAAUCGUAUAUGCAUUUACACACACCUAUGAGAUUCAGUUCUUUAAGUUGCAGAGAGGUAGUAAUUAUUCUAUAUGUGGUCGAGAAGCAACAUGAGCUCAGUAGUAAUAAAAUAAAACAAUGUCAAUGGAAACUCGCAAAUCAAAUCAGUAUACCUCAGGUUAUGAAUGUAGUAAUGCUGAUACUACAUGAUCCUUCUUCUUUCUUGAUAAUUGUGAGGAAGUCCUCUUGAUCCAAAUCUUUAUGAACUAUAGAAAAACCUGCAAAGAAGAGAACAACAACAGAGAAGAACAUCAAAGACCUGCAAAGACAAUAUAUAUAUACAAAUAUAACUAAAAUCAAAAACAAGAGAACAACAACAACAGAGAAGUAGAAACUAAUAGGUCUGAAACAAACAAACCUCCUCCUAUCAAAAGGUCUGCAACUUCCUUGUCUACAGAUCAAUGGAUUUGUCAGAAAACCAUAGCUAACACUGUAACGCUCACAUACAAAUACAUAUAACUCUAACAGUUAAGCAACAGAGGAAUUCUAACACAGAAAUACACAAAAAAUCAUAUAAGAAGGAGACAGAGAGAAGCACGAAUACUCAUUACAAAACCAAAGAGAGGAAUACUAACCAAAUACGUGAAUCAUCAUAAGGCAAACAUUGGCUUCCAGAUUCAAUGAAGACACAAAUCGAAUCAAAACAACUGUAAUUCCAAAAGGCAAAAGAAUGAUGAUUGCUACAUAAUAAACUCCUAAGACACAAGACCAUAUGCACAGAGAGGAACAAGAAGAGAUAGAGCUGUACCGUGAAGGGAAAAGAGGAAGCAAGAGCACCACCAUGAGGACGAAGCAGAGGUAGAUAGAUCCCAAAGACGAACCAGAAGAAGAGGAACCAAAAGCAGAGGUUAGAUCGCCACCACGUCUCAAGCCUCAGCAUUCUAUGAUCGCCCUGUUUGCAUAUCUUGAUCAUCAAACCGAAUCUCACAACAACAAAUCAACCAGAGAAAAGCUAUAAAGGUAGAAGCUUUACACCAACGAUGAAUCAGAGAUUCGAUGGCGAAGAGGGUUAUGCUUUGUUGUUCGACAAGAGAGAACGAACUAAGGAUAUUGAUUUGUUGAAGAGAAAGAAGAAGAAGUGAGAGAAACAGAGAAUUUUGAUUUCUCGAUCAAAAGGAAGAACGGAGAAGAAGAAAGUUUGAGAAGCUUUGAGUUGUUUAACAAAAAAGAAGAAGCUUUGAAUUGACAGAAAGAGUUUUUUUAAUUAAAAGAAAAGGAAACUGAUGAGAUCACAAUCACAACGGUUAUAUUAAUACCGAGAUUUUGUUUCUGUUAAAGUUUCUUCAUCACAACGGUAACAUUUUGAACUUGUUAAUUUUAAAAGAGAAUUUACUGAAAAAUAUAUAACUGUAAUUUAUAAACCUUCAGUUAUACUAUUAAUUCAUUGAAAAAUCCUAGAACUAUUUUAUUGACCUAUUCUGGAGGAGUUAUUUUACUAAUUAUUUCAUAAAAAAUGUUAAUUAUCAGACCAAGUUUUAUAUAAUAAGUUUCUCCUUAACACUACGCAUGACCACGGUUACGGUUUAUUAACCAUCGAUUACGGUUAUAAAUUUUCCUUAACCAUAACUUUAACCUUUAUGUAUACGGUUACGGUUACGGUUAUUUGAUGAUCAUGAUAUAGAUAAUAUUAUAAACUUUUUCCGGUAACGAAGCUAAACUAAAAUUCAUUAUUAGGGUUCUGCUCCUACAACGCCGUAAUUUUGAUUGCUUUAGUUUUUUGAAUUCAGGUUCGAUAUGGAGAUUGAGAGAAACGUUUCAGUCCCUGGUAAGAAGAAUCUAGUUAAAGUCGAGUUCAAGCUUGGGACAGAGAGCUACAUCAUUGAUUCAUCAAACAAGGGUGAUACUGUGUUGGACCAAUUGGUUUCGAUGAAAGUUGAAAGUAUGAAGAUACUUAAAGAUUUUAUCAUAAAGCUUAAUGUUCCAGAUGAUGAUGAUGUUCCCGACCAAAUCUUGUCUGAUGAUGAAGAAGGUGAUGAUGAUGUUGCUUCUCCUGUAAUAUGUCCUGUGAAACCUAAGAAGACAAAGAUUUGACUUCUUUUUUUAUUUAUCGCUACAUGUCUUGUUAAAUCUUGAACCGUUGUCAAAUCUGACUGUUUGUGUAACAGUUUUGGGUUUUCGAAGGAGAAUUAAGAGGCUUUGGAUCUUGCUAGUUGGAAUUUAGAUAUUGUGUUACUGAGGUUUUACUGUAGAUUGGAAUUCAGAUACACCUUUUAAUUGAAAUCACAGAGAAAUAGUAGCAAAGUAUUAGAGUACAAACACAGAUCAAAUCUAGACACACAGAAGCAUCCACAUAGUUAGACACAAAUGGGGAAUGCUUUUAAGAAUGCUGCAUAUAUAUAUUUGAAUUACACACUUUUAUUGGGAUGAAUACAAUGAGACGAGAACGAAGAUAGCUUUUGAUUUUAGCAAACACAAGCUUUCAUUUGAUAGACCGUUAGAAGCUUCUUGGAUGAAAAUCUUCAGAUUACCAUUAAAAACAUUUACACUAAACUUGUUCAAAACUUCUAAGCAGAGAAAUGACGAAGCAACAUCCCAGGUUUAUUCGAAAUCAGUGGUUAUACAACAUCAUAAGCUAAACUUUAAGGGUUAAAUGAUCCAAAGAAGCAGUUAGAGAAACCAAAUAUAAAAAGAGUAAGAGCAACAAAGGAGGUUUGGUACCUUGUGGAAAUUAAACACCAAACGUAAAAAAGUCCGUCGAAAAUACAACUCCUUACUUGAAAUCCUAAAGUUUGUGUUCAUCCUCCAUAACUCCAUAGAGAGAAAAACGAUUAGCUUAGCUUCUAUCAUGAUUAAAAAAAUUAUAUUUGAAUACUAAUCUUUGUGUUUCAUGUUAUUCAUCAUCAUAUAAUUUUCCUUUCAUGUUCGUGUAGUGCUUAUUUAGAAAGCAAGAUAAACAAUUCCUACAACUUUGUCUAACCUUACAUCACCUUUUGAAUCAGUUAUAUUCUCUAAGUUUAUUUGUUUUAUUUUCAUUGGAAUAACUUUUUUUCUUCUAAUUAUUACGUUGGCUAAUUAUUGAACAUGAUUUUAUAAAAGGCGUUACGUUGGACAUGGAAAACAUGGAAAUAUCGUGUAAACUUAAAAUAUUAUGCGGCGCCAAUAAAUAAUUAUAUAAGUAUGUAGCUUGGAAAAAAUCAACAACUCCCAUUGAAUAUCACAAAUCAGUAUGGACCACAAAGAGAGUUUGAUGCAAGGUCCUGUUUGUUUUCAACCAAUUUAAAUUUAACACUUAUAUUUUUUUUAAAGAAAAACAUUUUGUAUGUUAUUGUUAAAAAUCAAAACUGUACUUAAAAAUUAUAACUUUACUUAAACUAUAAAAAGACCUUAAAACCUAAGCGUUAAUUUUUUUACAAUACGUGAUAACAUGUUGAACUUAUACACCACUGACGGACCACAAAAGGACUGGAUGCUCGGCCCAAUUUGUUUUCAACGUAUUAAAAUUUAACACUUAGAUUUAACCCAAAAAUAAAAGAUUAUUAAUAAUUAAAACUAUUUUGCUUGAAAUUGAUUUAAAAAAACCUUGAUAUUUAGUUGUAAAUCAGGAAAAUAGAAAUGAAAAAAAAAACAUAAAAUAUUUUCUUCUUUAUGUAUAUUUUUAAAUCAAAAUCAAUUGCUCUUAAUUUAAUUUUUUAUGUAUAUUUUUAAAUCAAAAUCAAUUGCUCUUAAUUUAAUUUUUUUUUUAAGUUAGAAAAGUUGAAAUAUACCUGUUAUAUUUAAGUAUCCUGAGGGAUGAGGCGACUCAGUCCGUGGUCGUUUCUAAAGUUUGCUACACGUAAGUAGAAAACAAACCCAUCAGCUCAUUUCAUAAUCGUCAAAAAUUGAAUUACUUUGAUAAAACUAAAGACAACUAUUACGAUUUUACGAACCUGCUAAUAGCCUAAUACCUCUCUGUUCCUCUCUUCAAUAUAUAUAAAUCCUCCUAUAAAUUUUCUCCGAAGGUGUCUCAGUGGCUUGAUAGCCUUAGAUUCAAUAUCUUGUGACAUCGAUCUUGACUGAAGAAAACAGAGGAUCGAUGGAGAUCAUCAUAAAGACAUUCAUCGAACCUUGAGUCUCCACCCUGAAACAACAACAUAACCAAGUACACAACAUUCAUUAUCUAACACUGAAUACACAAAACCAUAUAAGACGACAUACAGAGUAAGACAGAGAACCACAAAUACUUUGUUCAAAACAAAGAGAUGAAUAAUAUAUAUAAUACGUGACUCACAAGGCUAUAACAUGUUUGAUGAUGAACUAAAAAGUACACAAGAUGGCUUGCAUUUGCAUCAAUCCAAAAUCGUAUAUGCAUUUACACACACCUAUGAGAUUCAGUUCUUUAAGUUGCAGACAGGUAAUAAUAAGUCUAUAUGUGGUCGAGAAGCAACAUGGGCUAUUAAAUAAAACAAUGCCAAUGGAAACUCCCAAAUCAAAUCAGUAUACCUUAGGUUAUGAAUGUAGUAACACUGAUACUACAUGAUCCUUCUUCUUUUUUGAAACUUGUGAGGAAGUCCUCUUGAUCAAAUCUUCAUGAACUAUAGAAAACAACAUCAAUGACCUGCAAAGACAAUGUAUAUAUAUACUAAUAACCAAAAUCAAAACAAAGAGAACAACAACAACCGAGAAGUAGAACUUAAUAGCCCACCAAGAACAAGCAUACCUUCUCCUAUCAAAAGGUCUGAAAAAUCAUAUAAGAAUUCUAUAUGUGGUCGAGAAGACAGAGAGAACCGAGAUUCAGUUCUGUAUGUUGCAAACAUGUAAUAAUAAUUCUAUAUGUGGUCGAGAAGCAACAUGAGCUAUUAAGUAAAACAGAUGCCAAACUCGCAAAUCAGAUCAGUAUACCUCAGGUUAUGAAUGUAGUAAUGCUAAUGGUACAUGAUCCUUCUCCUUUUUGAUAAUUGUGAGGAAGUCCUCUUGAUCCAAAUCUUCAUGAACUAUAGAGAACAACAUCAAAGACCUGCAAAGACAAUGUUUAUAUACUAAUAACUAAAAUCAAAACUAAGAGAACAACAACAAAAGCAGAGAAGUAGAAACUAAUAGCUCACCAAGAACAAGCAUACCUUCUCCUAUCAAAAGGUCUGAAAAACCAAUGGAUUUGUAAUAUAUAACUAAGCAAAAGAGGAAUUCUAACACAGGAAUACACAAAAAAUCAUAUAAGAAUACUCAUUACAAAACCAAAGAGAGGAAUACUAACCAAAUACGUGAAUCAUAAGUCCAACAUUGGCUUCCAUCAAUCGUAUAUACAUAUACACUUAUGAGAUUGUAAUUCCAAACAAACUGUAUAACACUGGACACAAAUCAAAUCAAAUCAAUUGUAAUUCCAAAAGGCCAACAUGAUUAAAGAACUAAAUAGUAUCAAAAAUUGGCUUCCAUCAAUCGUAUACUCUUAUGAGAUUCAGUUCUGUAUGUAGCAGACAUGUCAUUCUAUGUGGUCGGGAAUACGCUUAUGAGAUUCAAUGAAGACACAAAUCGAAUCAAAUCAAUUGUAAUUCCAAAAGGCCAAAGAAUGAUGAUGAUUGCUACAUAAUAAACUCCUAAAAAUUGGAUAAAAGUUCUCAACUUGUAAGAGACAAGACAUCAACAACAAGACCAUAUCCAGCACAGAGGAACAAGAAGAGAUAGAGCGGUACCUUGAAGGACAAGAGGAAGCAAGAGCACCACAGAGGUUAGAUCCCAAAGACGAACCGGAAGAAGAGGAACCAAAAACAGAGGUUAGAAUCCAAAGACGAACCAGAAGAAGAGGAACCAAAAGCCUCGAUCAUCACCACCAUGUCUCAAGCCUCAGCAUUCUAUGAUCAUCAAACCGAAUCUCACAACAACAAAUCAACCAGAGAAAAGCUAUAAAGGUAUAAGCUUUACACCAACGAUGAAUCAGAGAAUCGAAGGCGAAGAGGGUUAUGCUUUGUUGUCCGACAAGAGAGAACAGAGAACUAAGGAGAUUGAUUUGUAGGGUUUCGAAGAAGAAGAAGAAAGAACGGAGAAGCGUUGAGUUGAGAGAAACAGAAAAUUUUGAUUUCUCGAUCAAAAGGAAGAACGGAGAAGAAGAAGCGUUGAGUUGAGAGAGAAACAGAGUAAAUUUUUAAUAUUUAUAAGCAAAAUUAAUUAAGAGGUUAAUUAAAAGAAAAGGAAAUUGAUAAUAUCACAAUCACAACGGUUAUAUUAUUAUGAGUUUAAGCAAAUCAAUACGAGAUUUUGUUUUUGUUUCGGUAUUAUUACAUUUAUUAUACAACGGUCAUCUUUCCUAAUUUCAGCAUUUUUGAACCUUGUUAAUUUUAAAAGAGAAUUUAGCUAAAAGAUAUAAUUUGUAAACCGUAAGUUAUAAUAUUGAUUCAUUGAAAAAUCCUAGAACUAUUUUAUUGACCUAUUCUUGAGGAGUUAUUUUACUUAUUGUUUUAUGAAAAAAAUGUAAAUUAUUCAAAACUAAGUUUUAUAUAAUAAGUUCUCCAUUACACUUAAAAUAACAAACAAAAAUAUUGUCGUUUUGUCGACUUAUUUUGCAUGUUUUAUACCAAAUAGAAGUAUCGAGACCGGCAGAGAAUGUAUACAAACAAUGGCGAAUGGCACGGACAGGGCCGAGGAUUGAUAUAAAUGAGCGUGCCGGGUUUGCUGAUUUCUCGGUUUCGUGCGGAAGGGAAUAGAUCCAAGGUUGUGGAAUUGGUUGAUUCGACAAGAAGAAAGAUGGUUGGGAUGUAUUUAUUGACGCUAAAAUUAUGGUCUGACUGUUUUGGGGUUCAGUGGUGGCCUUCUUGUAAUUGUGGGUUACAUUGUUGGUUGCAAUGUGUGGCUCCUUAGAGAGUAUCCUGUUAUAUGUGUGCUAUUUUGUUUGUAUCUCGUUUUAAAGCACCCCAUUAUGUUUGUUUUCUCAUUAGAUUUUUACGGAUAUUUGUUGCAUUUACUAGGUUAUGAGCUCGCGCGGGGAACUGUUCAAAUUGAACAUGGUAUUUUUCCUCUUUAUCGGCUUUUUCUUUUACAUUAUAUUUCCAAUGAAAAUAUUGUAUUGGUUGCUUUUACUAUUUGGUAUUUUAUCAUGUCCUCUAGAAGCUUCUUUUUGGAUCAUAUGCAUCAUCCAGUUUGUUAAAAGAUUCCUGUUUUUGUAUUAUACAAUAUUGAGUAAGACAAAAUUGUAUCUAAUCAUCACAUUCUAUAAAAUGAGAUACAAAUGCAGAACAUGUGUAAAAUUAACACAAAAAUAACAUGUAACUAAUUAAUGAUCAAGUCGUUUCAUGUAGGUUCAAAUUUGUGGCGAAGUGAUCAUAGGGUUUGGGUGUUGCAUCUAAAAUUUAGAUGGCUUUUGUGUCGUGCUGCUCACUUUAACUUCAAAAUAAGGUAUAUGCGAAUCUUUGAACAAUUCAUGCUUUUUUUUACCAAACUGGUAAUGAACCAAUUUAUAUUACAUAGUAAGCGAUUCUAUUCAUUCAUUGAGUUUCUGACUAUUCAUUCUCUUCCGUCCGGUUUCGUCGUUAUCAACAAAAGCUAACCUCCCCUCAUAGCUUAUCAACAUGUCCCUAUAAAUACCCGAUGGUAAAUCUAUCAUACCAAAUUUUUCUAAUCUAACAUGAAAACUUAUUGUAACCCAAACAUUCUUAUGAUAAAUAUCUACUACAUAAUAUAUAACACCCUUGAUGCAUCGACCAAACGUAUUGUAGUCCGAAUAAUGGUUAUGGUUGGUUUUGACUGUUCUCCAUGAUUCUUGACCUGAUCCCAAUGUUAACACACGACACACUCCAGAACUUCUUAAAUAAGGUAUGCACAUUACUUUGUGUUUACCUUCGACCGGAUCAUAUCCUAAAAAAACUCUUACAUAACACCAGCUCUUUUCGGGUUUCGGCAAGGUUAAUAACUCUUUCUUGCUAGGGUUCCAAACUACAGGGGCUCCUGAUACUUGAAAACAGAUCAAGCCAUGGACAGAUUCCGUAGGGGGCAAGUAACAUUGUCCUUGCGGGAAUUUCAUAUGGUAACGAUAAAUAGGCUGAGAACAAGAGUAAGAAGAGUUCUGAUUAUCUUGAGGGAUUGAGGAAACAAAAAGCUUCCCAUCUGCUAUAACGCAGACAAGAAGACUCGGCUGCAGUGUUGAGAAGAACCGAGUCUCGAAAGAGCGGAUGAAAUAUGAGUCGGUGGUGAUUGAUGACCAUAGCUUCGAUACGCAACGGAAUCUCAAAACAUGAUCUCGAAGGCAGCCUUAAGAGUAUUUCUGAGUUUAGAUCUUUAGGAAAGGACGACGGAAGUUUCAAUUGCUUUCUUCUUUUUCGGUUGCCUUUUCUCUUCUUCUUUUUUGGUUUCUCCAUCUUUUUUUUUUUUUGUCAAAACCCUAAAUUUGUUAGGCUGUGUAGCGCAGACCAUUCAAAGUCACUAUAUAUUCUGCUAAUUGUUUGUGGUAGCACUUAUCUAAUAUAUUAAAAGAGUAGUCAUCAGUCUCAAGUUCGCUCUCAAAAACGGAUUACCUUUUUACCCUUAAUGAAAAAUAUAUUUCGUCUCCAAAAAGCCGACUUUUAUGUUUAAGAUCGAAAACUUUUAAGAUCGAAAACUUUUUAAGCCGGCUUUGUUGGUUUAAACCGAUCUUUUUAAAAUUUUUAAGUUUUCGAUUUUAAACCAAACGUAAAAAAGUCCGUGGAAAAUAAAACUCCUUACUUGAAACCCUACCGUUUGUGUUUAGCCUCUAUAACUCCAUAGAGAGAAAAACGAUUAGCUUAGCUCUAUCAGGAUAAAAAAUUUAUAUUUGAAUACUAAUCUUGUUUAUAAUUUAGCUUCAUGUUUAUAAUUUUUAUUUCUUGUUCGUGUAGUGCUUAUAGAAAGCAAGAUAAACAAUUCCUACAGUUUUUUCUAACCUUACUUCACCUUUUAAAUCAGUUAUAUUCUCUAAAUUUAUCUGUUUUAUUUUUCAAUUUUGGUAAAUUUGGAAUAACUUUUUUCUAAUUAUUACGUUUGCUAAUUAUUAAAGAUGCUCUUAAAAAAAGAAUUUCCGUUGGGCUUGGAAAACAUGGAAAUAAUAGAAAAUAUCCUUUAAACUUAAAAAAUCUUGCGGCGCUAUGUAGCUUGGAAAACAUCAACAACUCCCAUUCUAUACAAAUCAGUAUGGAUCACAAAGGGAGUUGGAUGCUAGGUCUGGUACGUUUUCAACAUCUUUAAACUUAACACUUAGAUUCUUUAAAAAUAAAAACAUUUUGUAUGUUGUUGUUCAAAAUCAAAACUUUACUUAAAUUAUAAAAAAACCUUAAAACCUAAGCGUUAAUUUUUUAUAAUACGUGAUAGCAUGUUGAACUUACACACCACUGACGGACCACAAAGGGACUGGAUGCUCGGCCCAGUUUGUUUUCAACGUAUUAAAAUUUAACACUUAGAUUCAACCCAAAAAAAAAAUUAUUAAAAAUUAAAAGUAGUUUUGGUUAAAAUUUGAUUAAAAAACCUUGAUAUGUAGUUGUAAAUCAGGAAAAUAGAAAUGAAAAACAUAAAAUCUUUUCUUCUUUAUGUAUAUUUUUAAAUCAAAAUCAAUUGCUCUUAAUUUUUUUUUUUUUUUUUUUUAAGUUAGAAAAGUUGAAAUAUACCUGUGAUAUUUAAGUAUCCUGAGAGCUGAGGCGAGGCGACUCCAUCCGUGGUCGUUUCUGAAGUUUGCUACACGUAAUACAAAAACAAACCCAUCAGCUCAUUUCAUAAUCGUCAAAAAUUCAAAUUACUUUGAUAAAACUAAAGAGAACUAUCAUACGAACCUGCUAAUAUAAUACCUCUGUUGCUCUCUUCAAUAUUCUUCUAAAUAUUCCUCUUAUAAAUAUUCUUCUANNNNNNNNNNNNNNNNNNNNNNNNNNNNNNNNNNNNNNNNNNNNNNNNNNNNNNNNNNNNNNNNNNNNNNNNNNNNNNNNNNNNNNNNNNNNNNNNNNNNNNNNNNNNNNNNNNNNNNNNNNNNNNNNNNNNNNNNNNNNNNNNNNNNNNNNNNNNNNNNNNNNNNNNNNNNNNNNNNNNNNNNNNNNNNNNNNNNNNNNNNNNNNNNNNNNNNNNNNNNNNNNNNNNNNNNNNNNNNNNNNNNNNNNNNNNNNNNNNNNNNNNNNNNNNNNNNNNNNNNNNNNNNNNNNNNNNNNNNNNNNNNNNNNNNNNNNNNNNNNNNNNNNNNNNNNNNNNNNNNNNNNNNNNNNNNNNNNNNNNNNNNNNNNNNNNNNNNNNNNNNNNNNNNNNNNNNNNNNNNNNNNNNNNNNNNNNNNNNNNNNNNNNNNNNNNNNNNNNNNNNNNNNNNNNNNNNNNNNNNNNNNNNNNNNNNNNNNNNNNNNNNNNNNNNNNNNNNNNNNNNNNNNNNNNNNNNNNNNNNNNNNNNNNNNNNNNNNNNNNNNNNNNNNNNNNNNNNNNNNNNNNNNNNNNNNNNNNNNNNNNNNNNNNNNNNNNNNNNNNNNNNNNNNNNNNNNNNNNNNNNNNNNNNNNNNNNNNNNNNNNNNNNNNNNNNNNNNNNNNNNNNNNNNNNNNNNNNNNNNNNNNNNNNNNNNNNNNNNNNNNNNNNNNNNNNNNNNNNNNNNNNNNNNNNNNNNNNNNNNNNNNNNNNNNNNNNNNNNNNNNNNNNNNNNNNNNNNNNNNNNNNNNNNNNNNNNNNNNNNNNNNNNNNNNNNNNNNNNNNNNNNNNNNNNNNNNNNNNNNNNNNNNNNNNNNNNNNNNNNNNNNNNNNNNNNNNNNNNNNNNNNNNNNNNNNNNNNNNNNNNNNNNNNNNNNNNNNNNNNNNNNNNNNNNNNNNNNNNNNNNNNNNNNNNNNNNNNNNNNNNNNNNNNNNNNNNNNNNNNNNNNNNNNNNNNNNNNNNNNNNNNNNNNNNNNNNNNNNNNNNNNNNNNNNNNNNNNNNNNNNNNNNNNNNNNNNNNNNNNNNNNNNNNNNNNNNNNNNNNNNNNNNNNNNNNNNNNNNNNNNNNNNNNNNNNNNNNNNNNNNNNNNNNNNNNNNNNNNNNNNNNNNNNNNNNNNNNNNNNNNNNNNNNNNNNNNNNNNNNNNNNNNNNNNNNNNNNNNNNNNNNNNNNNNNNNNNNNNNNNNNNNNNNNNNNNNNNNNNNNNNNNNNNNNNNNNNNNNNNNNNNNNNNNNNNNNNNNNNNNNNNNNNNNNNNNNNNNNNNNNNNNNNNNNNNNNNNNNNNNNNNNNNNNNNNNNNNNNNNNNNNNNNNNNNNNNNNNNNNNNNNNNNNNNNNNNNNNNNNNNNNNNNNNNNNNNNNNNNNNNNNNNNNNNNNNNNNNNNNNNNNNNNNNNNNNNNNNNNNNNNNNNNNNNNNNNNNNNNNNNNNNNNNNNNNNNNNNNNNNNNNNNNNNNNNNNNNNNNNNNNNNNNNNNNNNNNNNNNNNNNNNNNNNNNNNNNNNNNNNNNNNNNNNNNNNNNNNNNNNNNNNNNNNNNNNNNNNNNNNNNNNNNNNNNNNNNNNNNNNNNNNNNNNNNNNNNNNNNNNNNNNNNNNNNNNNNNNNNNNNNNNNNNNNNNNNNNNNNNNNNNNNNNNNNNNNNNNNNNNNNNNNNNNNNNNNNNNNNNNNNNNNNNNNNNNNNNNNNNNNNNNNNNNNNNNNNNNNNNNNNNNNNNNNNUAUGCUUUGUUGUUCGACAAGAGAGAACGAACUAAGGAUAUUGAUUUGUUGAAGAGAAAGAAGAAGAAGUGAGAGAAACAGAGAAUUUUGAUUUCUCGAUCAAAAGGAAAAAGAGACGAGAAGAGAGGGUUGAGAAGCUUUGAGUUGUUUAACAAAAAAGAAGAAGCUUUGAGUUGAGAAGAAGAGUUGUUUAAUUAAGAGAAAAGGAAAUUGAUAAAAUCACAACGGUUAUAUUAAUAUGAGUUUAAGCAAAUCUAUACCUAGAUUUUGUUUCUGUUAAAUUUUCUUCAUCACACACAACGGUAACAACUUAAUUUUGAUAUGUAAAAACAUUUUGAACCUUGUAAUUUUAAAAGAGAACUAGAUUUGGAUCCGCACAUACGUGCGGGAUAUAUUUGUGAAUAUAAUUAUUUGAUAUAAUCUUUAUAACUCAUAUUUACAACGAUUUGGUUUCAUCAAACUUCGGAACAUUUGUAAUAAUAAUGGUUUCAUCAUAAUAUUUGGAUUGAUACGAAGACAGAUCCAGAUAUUAAACUAAUGUAAUCACUUAUAUUUUUAGCAAGCUAUUAAACUAUUAAAUCAGAUAAAUGUCAAAAUAUCAAACUUGCCAAACCGAAUUACCUAAAUUGUCAAGGUGGACGUAUUUGAUGUUUUUACCAGUAAAAAGUCUACCCCAUGAAAGCCACAUGAGCAACAUUUACAUUCUUCUCGUUUGAAUUUGCAAAAAUUCGUAGUUAGCAUACAUUUUGCUAAAUUUUCUAAUUUAGACAUAAUACUCAUAUCUUACGUUUGGAUAUUCUCAAACUCUCUUAAACUUUAAAAUUAUCAUCUAAAGUAGAUAUUUACCCGUUCAAAAGUUAGCGCAUAUUCAAAUUAAGUUCUGAGAUUCGAAUAUAGAUAAAAAAAACUAUUUAGAUUGUUAUACAAAAUUUAUCUCUCAUACAUCUUAUCAUGAAUAGUUUGGAAAUAUUUUUCCGUUCCCAUUUCAUAUUCACUGUUUCCCGUUCAGAUAUUGGCAAGGUAAUGUUCGUAAUGUUUCACACUCUACGUACCUUCAGAGUUAUAUUUUUAGAUAUAAUUAUUUGAUAUAUCUGUUAUCUAUAUUAACAUUUUAAAGCAGUUUUUGCAAUAAAUCCUAAAUUUUCAAACUAUUUACAAAAAUGCCACUGCAUUACAGUAUCUUUAAAAAUAAAUGGAAAAUAAUAAAAAUGGAAAUACAUCAAUAUUUAGAAGAUUAAAAUUAUAGUUCUCCUAUCAUAUUUUUUGAUUUGAUUUUUUAAUUUUUUUUUGAAUCAUUAUAUAACACAUAAGAUUAAUAAAAUCUAAUUUUGUUUUUCUAUAUAUUUUGUGAUUCGAAUUUUAAAAAAACGGAUAUAUAUAUAUAUAUAUAUAUAUAUCACUCAAUUAAUAUAAAAAGUAUGUGUUCAACAUCUUAAAUCCGCUAAAAUAUUAGAGAAUGAUUCAAAAUCAUAUUAUACAUAUGAUCAUAAUAGAUUUAAAUCUGAAUGAGCAGAAAGUUUCACUUAAUAAGCAUCCAAACUUUAAAAUUUGUAUAUCAAUUCAUUCGAUUUAGGUGAAUUGGGUAAUGUUUAAAAUAUGUUUCUUUUGAAAAUAUAAUUUGUUUAAAAUAUGUUUCCUUUGAUUGAUUUCACUUAAUAAGCAUCCAAACUAUAAAAUAUGUUUACAAAUACACAAUUUCUAAUUUAAUAGGCCUCAUUUUAUGGUAACAAAUUUAUUAUGAUUUCCAUGAAUCUGUGUUAGUUAUUAGAUUUGAUUUUUUUAAAAUAUUUUAAAGCAUAUUUAUUUGAGAAAUUGAUACAAAUAACCUUUUUAUGAUACCCUCUUUUAAAAAUAUCCUCUUUUUUUACCAUUUUCAUUUUUGCCCUCUCUUAUAUUUUAAUGGCCAUUUUACCCCUAUUUGAAAGAAUAUUCUUUCCCAAAGGAAGGAAUAUUCCAUCCAAAAAUUUUCCCCCCAAAUAUUUCCCGCCAAAAACUUUCCCGCCAAAAUUUUCCCGCCAAAAAAGUUUCCGAGAAAAAUUUUCCCGCCAAAAAAAUUUCCGCAAAAAAUUUCCCGCAAAAAAAAAUAUUUUUUCAAAAUUUUCCCGCCAAAUUUUUUAAAGGGUUUACAAGAUUUUUUAAAGGGUCUUUUAAAGGGUUUACAAGGGUUUUUAAAGGGAUUCACAAGAGUUUUUAAAUGGUUUUUAAAAGAUUUGUAAUGGUUUUUAAAGGGUUUUAGAAGCCUACAAAGGUUUUCAAAUGGUUUUUAAAUGAUUUACAAUGGUUUAUAAAAGUUUUUAUUAGUUUAUAACAGUUUUAAAAGGAUUUACAAGGAUUUUAAAAGGUUUUUAAAAAUUUACAAGGAUUUUUAAAGGUUUUUUAAAAGGAUUUAAAAGUGUUUUUAAAAGAAUUUAAAAGUGUAUUUAAAGGCAUACAAAGAUUUAAAAAUAGCUUCAAAGGAUUUACAAGAAGUUUUAAAGGGUUUUAGAAGUUUACAAAGGUUUUUGAAGGGUUUACAAAAGUUUUUAAAGGUAUUACAAGUUCUUUAAAAUGGGUUUUAAGGAUUUACAAGGGUUUUUAACGGGUUUUAGAAGUUUACAAAAGUUUUUAUUAAAUGAUUUAUCACGGUUAUAAGUGGUUUAAAGGGAUUUACAAGUGUUUAUAAAUGUUAUAAAAUGAUUUACAAUGGUUUUAAAAGGUUUACUCAAGUUUUGAAAGGUUUUGGAUUACUUUUAAAAGAUUUACAACGGUUUUUAAAGGAUUUUUUAAGGGAUUUAUAAAUAUUUACAAGGUUUUUUUAAGAAAUUGCGGAAAAAUUUUGGCUGAAAAUUUUUGGCGGGAAAAUUUUUGUCGGAAUUUUUUUUGGCGGGAAUUUUUUUUUGGCGGGAAAAUUUUUUGUCGAAAUUUUUUGACGGGAAAUUUUUUUCCGAAAAUUUUUGGCGGGAAAAUUUGGCGGGAAAUUUUCCGGAAGGAAUAUUCUUUUUGUUGGAAUAAUAUUCAUUUUUUCAUCAUGGGUUAUAAUAAAAGAGGGUAUUUUGAAAAUGAGCACCUAGAGAGGGUACUUGUAGAAAAUGGUAUCAUAAUAAAGGUUAGUUGUAAAAAUCUCCCUUGAUUAAUUUCACUUAAUAAGCAUCCAAACUAUAAAAUAUGUUUACAAAUACACAAUUUCUAAUUAAACAUGCCUCAUUUUAUGGUAACAGAUUUAUUAUGAUUUCCAUGAAUCUGAGUUAGUUAUUAGUUUUGAUUUUUUUAUUUUAUUUUAAAGCAUGUUUAUUUUAAUUGAAAAUAUAUUUUGCUGUCUUCAAGAUAUUUGAAAAUUUUAAUUUAUAAUUUAAUAAUGCUUAAACUUAAAAGAAUUUAAUUGAGUAUAAAUAUUUAUAAUAUUUUCAACUUUACAUGUAGUUGAUAUUUUACAACUUUACAUAUAAUAUUUUAAAACCUUUUAACAGAGUAAAUAUUAAUAAUACCUAAACUUUUAUAGAAUUUAAAUAUUUAUAGUAUUAUUAUCUUUCCUUGGACCUAAUUUAUUUUAAACGUUUAUUUACCUAAUUUAAACUGUUUACAUAUAUACAAUUUAAAAUACUAUACAUAUCAGUUUAUUUUAAAAGUUUCGAAAUUUUUUAAAUUAAAAUGUUUUGAAUUGUAUUAGUUUAAAUUAGUUAAAAUAAACGUUUAAAAUAUGUUUUCUAUAAUACAGUUCUAGUAACAGUUACAUUCUCCAUCCGCUUCACAGUUGAGACAUAUAUCAAAGAUGGAAGAAAACCAUGAUAUGCUGGCUCUGUCUCUAAGUGUAACACCAGUCAAUAGAACCGUCUCACAGAAACCCCCGAUGAUGCCUCUAGGCUUGGUUUCUCCAUAUCAUCAACAAGCACUUAACAUCAACCAUAUGUUACAGAACCAGGUGACAAGAGAUUUGUGUACUCAGUUACGUAAUGUGGAGGAAAGAGCUGUCUAUUUCAUGAAAGUAAAGGACAAAACCAUCGAAGAUAUGAAGAAACAGUCUGGAGAAAUGGAACUUCGCCUGAGAAAAGCAUUGUCGGAAGCCGAGUUCUGGAAGAAGCAGUCGGCUGAGAAAACAGAACUGUGCAGAGAUCUUGCCGGGAAGCUAUUGCAAGUGAGAAAGAGAGAAAAGUCGAAGAAAGUUAUUCCGGAGCAGAACGAGGCGGAAGAGGCUGAGUCGUCCACUGGUGAUAAUGGAGAGGAUGAUUUAAACACAGCAAGUAUUCGUUUAUGCAAACGUCGCCGUCUUUGAAAUUGGCGCGGGGUUUUAAGGCACGAAUGUUUUUGUUUGUAUGGACAUGGACGUGUGGUCAAAUGUUCCCACUUCCUAUAGUUGUUAUAUAUAUUCGAUGUUGUAUGGGGAGGGAACCUUGAACAUGAUUGUAAUCAUUCUAAAUAUAAAACAUGUCUAAUUUCUGUUACAUAUUAUUUUGUAAAACGCAUAACUUUGAAUUAUAGUUAUAUGAUAUUGCCUUUGUGAAGAAAAAAAAAAAAAACGUUUAAAAUAUUAUAUAAUCUUAAAAUUUUCGAAUUUAAUAGGCCACAUUUUAUGGUAACAAAUUUAUUAUGAUUUCUAUGAAUAUUGGUUAGUUAUUAGUUAGACUUUUUAUUUAUUGUAAAGCAUAUUUUUUCAUUUGAAAAUCUGUCAUUAAUUUUGUUUGGAUAUAGGUUUAGGAUUACAUUUUAUUUCAUUUUACUAUUUAAUCUGUUUGGAUACACUUUUAAAAAAUGCUUCCCUUUAAAUAGUAUAGAUUUACUGAAAAAGAUAUGACCGUAAUUUGUAAACCGUCAGCUAUACUAUUAAUUCAUUGAAAAAUACUAUAACUACUAGAUUUUAACCCGCGUGACGACGUUUUAAAAUGUAUUCUUUUUAUUAAUUUUGUGAGUAUAUAAGAGUGUACUACUAUAUUUUGAUUGUUAAUUCUAUGAUUUAACCCGUAGAAUAUUAUAUGAUAAUUUAUUUUUUAUAUAAUAGUAAUUUUAUCAAAUUAAUUAAAUAAGUAUAAUAUUUAAAGUAAUCAAAUGAUAUUGACAUAAUAUUCGUUUACAUAGUAUAAUUUCAUAUUAAAAUAUUUUGUGAGUUAUACUAUAGUAGACAACCCGUAAAAAUAUCUAUAAUCAUAAUUAUGUAAAUUAUAACUCGUUCCAUCACAUGAUCCGUGCUUCACAAUUAUCAAUAUUACUUUAGUACAUCCAUAUUUUUGUAUCGUUUGAGUAAUACAUCCGUAUCUAAAAAUUCAAAUUGCAACAUAUGCAAAAAAUGUUUUUUUAUAUUUUUACUAUACAUAUGUUUAUGUAAUAAUAUAAACUUAAAAACAAAUAAGGUCAUAUAAAGAUAUUGGAGAAAUAUUUGAUUUAUUAGGGAGAGAUUUUAGGAAACUUUGUUAAAUGUAGUAAAAAUUGAUUUCUAAUUUUGCAAUUUUAUUAUGAUUUAAUUACAAAAUUUAUCUUAAAAUUUUACUAUUUAAUCAAAUGGGAAGGGUUUAAUUAUGAAAAUAUAACAAAAUAAAAGGGUAGAACACAAAAGGUACUUCAAAAAUGUUAAUAUAGAUUUUAUUGACCUAUUCUUGAGGAGUUAUUUUAUAAUUUUUCUAUGAAAAAAUGUAAAUUAUCAUAUAAAUUAAUAAUGAUAUUGGGAUCAAGAAAUUCUAUGAAUUUAUAGAGGUAUUAAUAAAAAUAAUUUCCUAAUUUGGUAAUUUUUUUUAAAAUAGAUACAUCAAAACUAAGAUUUAGUCAUUAUAAUCAAUAAUUUUUUAGAACCAAAUACACCAAAAACAAUAAAUCAUCAUGAAUGAAUAAAACACUAUGAUUUUUUUGAUACAUGAAAUCUAUUAGAAUUGGAUUCUAAGAAAAAUUAAUAUAAAUUUGAGAAAAUAUUUACAAAAGAUUUUCAAAAAUAUUAUUAUCUUAUUAUUUUAUCGGAAUGUGUUUAAAAUUACAAUGGUCCCAACUUGGGACCGAGAAAAUUUAUUAAAUUAUAAAAUUUAUUAAUUUAUCGAGUAUUAAUUUAUCGAGUAUUAAUUUAUAGAGGUUUUAAUGUAAUUAGUUUUUCCAUUAUGCUUAAAAUAAUGGAACGAAAAUAUUGUGGCUUUUUAGACUUAUUUUGCAUAUUUUAUACCAAAUUGAAGUAUCGAGACCGGCAGAGAAGUUGUACAAAGAGUGGUGAAUGGCACGGAGUUAUCAGCGUACCAGGUAUGCUGAUAUUUGUAAGUUUUUAUUUAAUCUAAAUAUUUAAUUCGAUUUAUAGAGAAUUUUUGAGAAAUACCCCUUUUCGUGUACCUCUUUUUAAAAAUACUCCCUUUAUCUAUCCAUUUUCAAAAAUACCCCUUUUUAAAUAUAAAAAAAUUAUAAAGUUUUAUAUAGUUUAUAAGGUACUUCUAUAUAAUAACUACUACUGGGAGAUUCGAUACAAAUGUUUUAAAAUGUUCUAAAUAGUUUUAAAUCGUUUUUAUAAGUUUUAUAAGGUUUUUAAAAGGUUUUUAAAAGGGUUUAUACGGUUUUAUAAGGUUUUUAUAAGGUUUUUAUAAUUUAUUUUUACGCUAUUUAUGAAAGGUAUAUAAAGUUUUAUAUACAUAUAAAGGUAAUUUGUGUAUAUAUUUAUAAGCUUACACACAUAUUUGGAUAAAUUUCAACAUUUUUAUUGAGUUUUUUGAUAAAGUUUGAAAAAGGGGUAUUUUUUAAAAGAGGUAUAUGAAAAGGGGUAUUUUUGAAAUUACCCCUUAUAUUAUUUGAUAUUUGAAAUUUUUAAUUUAUAUAAAUAUUCAAGUUUUUGUAAAGUAUAAUGAAAUUUUAAUUAUUAUAAAAUUUAUUUUACCAAAAUAUCGAGAAUUGAUGGACACGAAAAAAAAACAGGGUAUUCAACUAUUCAUAUAAAAAAAAUAUAGAAAAAAGGUUCUUCGGGUAAUUUAUUAUAUAAACAAGUUUUAUAUAAUAAGUUUCUUCAUUACGCUUAAAAUAAUGGAACGAAAAUAGUGUCGCUUUGUAGACUUAUUUUGCAUAUUUUAUACCAAAUAGAAGUAUCGAGAUAGGAAGAGAAUAUAAUGUAUACAAACAGUGGCGAAUGGCACAGACAGGGCCGUAGGUUGAUAUAAAUGAGCGUACGGGGUUUGCUGAUUUCUCGGUUUCGUGCGUAAGGGAAUGAAUCCAAAGUUGAGGAAAUGGUUGAUUCGAUAAGAAAGAAGAGAAUUGAUAUGCAUUUUAGAGACGUUAGAAAUAUGUUUGAUAUUAUUGGGGAUGACUAUUAAUAGAUUAUACAACUGGAUCUUGUAAUUAAUAAAGACUAAUAUAAGUUUCAAAAAGAGCUGAUGAUUUGUCAAAAUUUUAAGCUAUGAGCUCAUGUGUUACAUAUCUUUUUGCGGUAAAAAAUCAUAUUUUCACUAUCUUGCUGAACCUGACAAGUGACAAUGUUUUCUUUAUUUAAUAAGUGCUCAUGUCCUCCAAAAUCUUCCAAAUUUUUCAGGAAGAUUUUGUUGGUAUUCUUCAUUUGCUCCAAACUGAAUCUUAGUCGAACAGCUUUGAGCCUUCCUUUAUGGCUCUGGCUCGGGUUUUGUUGUAAGUAACUAUUUGUGUACAAGUUAACUAAUCUCAAGCGAGGGCCAAAAGAUUUGAGGUUCAAGUAUACUUGGACUAUUAUCCCGAUGAGUUCCAAUAUAUUAUGCCGACUUUCGAUCCUCCAAAAAAAAUCAUUAGCAUUGAAAGUAUUAGACCCUUCAUGGUUUUUUGUGUAUUUGGCUUGUAUUUUGAACAAUAUUUAUUCCCUCCCUAUCUUGGAGCUUUUGGCUAAAGAGUAUUCAUUCCAGCAAAUUUAUGUUUUUUAAUCUUCAAGUGAACUAGGUCUGCCAGUUCGGAUUCUUGGGUCGGUUAUCUUUGAACUCACAUACAUACAUUAUCUUUCUUUUGCAAGUUCUAUCUAUAUAGAAUUUGAUAUGAACUUUUGUAAUAUGUUAAGCAUCGGAGUGGAUGUGUGAAGAAAAGAUCUUUAAUAUUUUUUCGAAAGACUAUGCAGCUCAGCUUCAACUGGUUGAUACUAUGCUUGGUUUGGAAGAAGCGGAGAAGUUCUUCAAAACCAUCCCCGAAAACAUGAGGGAUUACUUUGUCUACAACAGUCUCUUGAAAUCUUACACUAAAUCUGUGAAAUCACAUGAUAAGGCUGAGGCCACAUUUGAGAAGACAAAAACAAAACAAAACAAAACAAAAAUCAUAAAGUUGAAUAAAUUAAAACUACAGGGGCUCCUGAUACUUGAAAACAGAUCAAGCCAUGGACAGAUUCCGUAGGGGGCAAGUAACAUUGUCCUUGCGGGAAUUUCAUAUGGUAACGAUAAAUAGGCUGACAACAAGAGUAAGAAGAGUUCUGAUUAUCUUGAGGGAUAGAGGAAACGAAGAGCUUGCCGUAUGCGAUAUAGCAUACGAGAAGACUCGGCCGCAGUGUUGAGAAGAAUCGAGUCUCGAAAGAGCUGAUGAAAUAUGACCAUAGCUUCGAUACGCAACGGAAUCUCAAAACAGAUCUCGAAGGCAGCCUUAAUAGUAUUUCUGAGGUUAGAUCUUUAGGAAAAGACGACGUUUUUCGGUUCCUCUUUCUCUUCUUCUCUUUUGGUUUCUCCAUUUUUUUUUUCGGUUGUCAAAACCCUAAAUUUGUUAGGCUGUGUAGCGUAGACUAUUCAAAGUCCCAAUAUAUAUUCUGCUAAUUGUUUCUGGUAGCACUUAUCUAAUAUAUUAAAAAAGUAGUAUGGAGGCUUACGUUCGCUCUCAGAAACGGAUUACAUUUUUAUCGUUAAUGAAAAAUAUCUCUCGUUUCCAAAAGCAGACUUUUAUGUUUAAGAUCGAAAACUUUUAAAUACAACUCCUUACUUGAAACCCUACCGUUUGUGUUUAGCCUCCAUAACUCCAUAGAGAGAAAAACGAUUAGCUUAGCUUCUAUCAUGAUUAAAAUUUUAUAUAUUUUAAUACUAAUGAUAUGAUCGUGGCUAGCACGGAGCAAGAGGCUACAGAGAAACCGGAGAUGGUGGGAAGGAUCACUCAUUCAAGAGCUAAGGAGAUGGCCAAGGAAGCACACGCAUUCAUAGCUGACGGGUCAUUCAACCUACCAAGGAUCCAAGUCUUCAACAUAUCUAACCUGAAGACUUCACCCGGUGAUGAGGACUAGGUAACUUAGGUGAGAAGUUUGUACUCUUUUUCCCAUAGCUGAGUUUUGUCCCAAUGGGUUUUCUCAGCAUGGUUUUUAAUGAGGCAAAUGGAUCACUACGUCGAGUUAUCUAGAAAUCAUUACCAAAGGGGAAUAAUGUACUUCUGUACUACUACAGGUCGUCAAGCUUCUGUACUAGUUCAGCCGACUUCUGUACUACUACAGGGCGUCGGGAAAUCUUGUUGUUUUUAUUAUUUCCUUAAAACAUGUUGUUGUUUUGGUUUUGAACUUCUUGUUGUUUGGAGUGUCGUGCCCUAGGGUAUUUAAAACCCAAAGCUACGCCUCUUUUCUCUUUAGCGAAGAAGUUGUAUGAACAAGUAUUGUCACACUUUUUCUCUCAAUUCGAAUUCUUGAAUGCGUUCUAGAUUUCCGGGUUUCUAUACACUUUAUGAUUCAGAAACUCUUCAUUGUUACAAUCCAUACAACCACCUAAACAUCUAUCUCCAUCAAACCAUUGUUUCAUCAUUCAAUCUUCUCAAAUCAUCACUCACGUUCAUCGCCCAUCAUCAUCAACAAACUCACGUCGCCUAUCACCUAUCUUCAGCCUUCAUCGGAGUUCUAUCCUAGGGAGAUCAUAUUAACUAAUCUUUGUGUUUCAUGUUAUUCAUCAUCAUAUAAUUUUUCUUUCGUGUUCUUGUAAUGCUUAUUUCGAAAGCAAGAUAAACAAUUCCUACAGCUUUGUCUAAGCUUACUUCACCUUUUGAAUCAGUUAUUCUCUAAGUUUAUUUGUUUUAUUUUCAUUGGAAUAAAUUUCUAAUUAUUACGUUUGAUAAGUAUUGAAGAUGAUAUUAAAAAGACGUUAAGUUGUACUUGGAAAAUAUGGAAAUAAUGGAAAUAUCAUGUAAACUUAAAAUAAAUAAUUAUAUAAGUAUGUAGUUUAGAAAACAUCAACAAAUCCCAUUGAAUAACACAAAUUAGUAUGGACCACAAAGAGAGUUCGAUGCGAGAUCCAGUUAGUUUUCAACAUAUUUAAAUUUAACACUUAGAUUUUUUAAAAUAAAAACAUUUUGUGUGUUGUUGUUAUAAAUCAAAACGUUACUUAAAAAUUAUAAUAACUUUACUUUAAUUUUAAAAAAACUUGAAACCUAAGCAUUAAAUUUUUUACAAUACGUGAUAACAUGUUGAACUUAUACACCACUGACGGACCACAAAGGGACUGGAUGCUCGGCCCAGUUUGUUUUCAAUGUAAUAAAAUUUAACACUUAGAUUUAACCCCACAAAAUGAUCAUUAUGAUUUAUUAAAAAUCAUAACUAUUUUUACUUGAAGUUUGCUUUUACAAACCUUAAUAUUUAGUUGUAAAUCAGGAAAAUACAAAUGAAAAACAUGAAUUUUUUUUUUAUGUAUAUUUUUAUAUCAAAAUCAAUUGUUUUUAAUUUUAAAUUUUUUUAAUAAAAGUUUGAAAAGUUGAAAUAUACCUGUAAUAUUUAAGUAUCCUGAGGGAUGAGGCGACUCAAUCCGUGGUCGUUUCAGAAUUUUGCUACACGUAAAUAGAAAACAAACCAAUCUGCGCAUUUCAUAAUCGUCAAAAAUUCAAUUAUUUUGAUAAAACUAAAGACAACUAUUACGAACCUGCUAAUACCUCUGUUCCUCUCUUCAAUAUACAUAAAUCCAUGGAUCGAUGGAGAUCAUCAUAAAGACAUUCAUCGAACCUUGAGUCACCAUUGAACCUUGACCCUCCACCCUGAAACUAAAGCUUAAUCAAGUACAAAUCUUCAUCAUCCAAGACUACAGAAUACACAAAAUCAUACACUCAGUUCAAAACAAAGAGAUGAAUCACAAAGGCUAACAUGUUUAAUGAACUAAAAAGUACACAAAAUGGCUUGCAUUUACACACCUAUGAGAUUCAGUUGUGUAUGUUGCAGACAGGUAAUAAUAAGUCUAUAUGUGGUCGAGAAGCAACAUGAGCUCAGUAGUAAUAAAAUAAAACAAUGCCAAUGGAAACUCGCAAAUCAAAUCAGUAUACCUCAGGUUAUGAAUGUAGUAAUGCUGAUGCUACAUGAUCAUCAAAUCUUCAUGAUAAUAGAGAACAACAUCAAUGACCAGUAAAGACAAUGUAUAUAUACUAAUAACCAAAAUCAAAAACAAGAGAACAACAACAACAGAAAAGUAGAAACGAAUAGCUCACCAAGAACAAGCAUACCUCCUCCUAUCAAAAGGCCUGAAAAACCAUAUAAGAAGGGAUAUAUAAAGGAGACAGAGAGAACCACGAAUACUCAUUACAAAACCAAAGAGAGGAAUACUAACCAAAUACGUAAAUCAUAAGUCCAACAUUGGCUUGCAUCAAUCGUAUACUCUUAUGAGAUUCAGUUCUGUAUGUAGCAGACAUAAAAGUUCUCAACUUGUAAGAGACAAGACAUAAAAAACCAGACCAUAUGCAGACAGAGGAACAAGAAGAGAUAGAGCGGUACCUUGAAGAGUUGAAGGGAAAAGAGGAAGCAAGAGCACCACCAUGAGGACGAACCAGAGGUUAGAUAACACGAACCAGAAGAAGAGGAACCAAAAGCAGAGGUUAGAUGCCAAAGACGAACCAAAAGCCUGUAUGUAGCAAACAUAAAAGUUCUCAACUUGUAAGAGACAAGACAUAAAAAACCAGACCAUAUGCAGACAGAGGAACAAGAAGAGAUAGAGCUGUACCUUGAAGAGUUGAAUGGAAAAGAGGAAGCAAGAGCACCACCAUGAGGACGAAGCAGAGGAAGUAGAACCAAAAGCCUCGAUCAUCACCACCAUGUCUCAAGCCACAGCAUUCUAUGAUCAUCAACCAGAAGAAGAGGAACCAAAAGCAGAGGUUAGAUCGCCACCACGUUUCAAGCCUCAGCACCCUAUGAUCGCCGUGUUGCAUAUCUCGAUCAUCAACGAGAGGAAAGCUAUAAAGUUUAAAGCUUUUUCACCGAAGAUGAAUCAGAGAAUCGAAGGAGAAGAGGGAACGAACUAAAGAGAUUGAUUUGUAGGGUUUAGAAAGAAGAAGAAGAAGAAAGAACGGAGAAGAAGAAGAGAUAGAGCGUUACCGUAAAGGGAAAAGAGGAAGCAAGAGCACCACCAUGAGGACGAAGCAGAGGUUAGAUCCCAAAGACGAACCAGAAGAAGAGGAACCAAAAGCCUCGAUCAUCGCCACCAUGUCUCAAGCCUCAGCAUUCUAUGAUCGCCAUGUUUGCAUAUCUCGAUCAUCAAACCAAAUCUCACAACAACAAGAGAAAAGCUAUAAAGGUAGAAGCUUUACACCAGCGUUGAAUCAGAGAAUCGAAGGCGAAGAUGGAUAUGCUUUCUUGUUCGACAAGAGAGAACGAAUCAACCUGUAGGGUUUCGUAGAAGAAGAAGAAGAAGAAGAAGAAAGACCGGAGAAGAAGAAGUGAGAAACAGAGAAUUUUGAUUUCUCUAUCAAAAGGAAGAGCGGAGAAGAAGCGUUUGAGUUGAGAGAAUUAAAGAGUAAAUUUUUAAUAUUUAUAAGCGAAAUUAAUUAAGAGGUUAAUGGAGGUGUUCAAUAGCUCUCAGAACGUAAUGAGACUAUGAGAACACUAAAGGGAAAAUGCUUGACUCGUAUUAUGGUAUUAGAGGUACUAGACAAGAAACAUAGAUGACACUUAUGUCCUGUGAGUUUUGUGUAUAGAUAGAUAUUGGUUAGUGUUGUUACAGUUAAGUGGUAGACAUUGAACCUUUGUGAAGUUUGCUGGUUGUGCAACAGUUUUUUUUAUCUAAGAAGAAUAUGAGGACUUAGGUAGAAAUAUGGAAAUGGGGUUAUUGAAUUCUUACUUGGAGGUUGGUGACUGUGAUGCAAAGUGCAAAGCACUGAGAGUUCAUUGGAAGAGUUUAAGAGAACCAGAGGAAAAUGCUCGAGUUAAUAGACUUAACAGAACCAUGGGGCAUGGACAUUAGAUAAAUGAUUGGUAAUCACUGGUUUAGCUAUAUUGGUUAGUGUUUGUGUUUAUGUGCUUGAUUGAUUCAAGAACUUACCAGAGUUGAAGAGUUGGGUGGUGAGAAAAGAGAUACAUGACGGAGAAGCCCUGGUUUAUUUAUAUUGGUUAGUGUCUGUGUUCAUGUGUGUUUGCCAGCUAAGUAAGUCUAACUUGUUAGAGUUGAAUACUUGGGUUGGUAAGAGAAGUUCUCGUGUUCCUGUGUUUUGUCACUGAAAUAUUAGAGUUUCUAUGACCUAAUGAAUCCAACCAAUGGAAGACACAGAUGGUGGAUAACAGCAAAUGCCACUAGUGGUAUAAGAGCCAAGAACAUUGUGCAUUGUCUGCACCCAGCGCCCGAUACAGGCAAUUGAAAAGAUCGCCAAGAGGAUCCUUAAAGCUGUUUUGAGAAUCAUUUUAUCAAAGAAAGUAGGAUUUUGUUCGCAUUCCUCACUAUUAGUCUUUCUAUUUUGUUGAUAAUUUGACAGUAACUAUCGACUUAGUUUAGUAUCCUCUCAGAUAGUAUAUGUGUGAUAUGAUACCAAAGUUAUGCGAAACAAAGAUUUUUAUACAGAAUUCAGUGUCUGCGAUAAAUAGUAACCUCACUAGUUCAAACGAAAAUCGCGGAUAAACAAAUUUUGGAUGAAUGAUAACAGCAGAAUCAUUCCUAUAUCAUUCACAAUCUUAACACCAACAUUGUCUUCGACUCAUCAAAGCAUCGCUAAGCUCCAGACAGGCCAAGAAAGAAAAAGAGAAAAACAGAUGGACUAGCACGCAUUCAUUACUCCAACUUCUCGAGUUCUGACAUCCUUUCGAUGAUCGCCUGCAAGUAAAAAAUUGUUCCCAGCAUUUAAAGGUUUAGUGGUUGAGCAAAGGAAUGUGUUAGUGCAAGAGGAAAGCUUGAAACCAAAAUUUAUACCCUUUUGCUUGUUUCUUGGAGCUCCCCAGCAAGAAUGAAUUCAUCGAGUAUCAGAUACACCUUUUAAUUGAAAUCACAGAGAAUUAGUAGCAAAUAUUAGAGUACAAACACAGAUCAUAUCUAAACACACAGAAGCAUCCACAUAGUUAGACACAAAUGGGAAAUGCUUUUGAGAAUGCUGCAGAUAUAUAUUUAUCUAACAGGUCAUGUUGGUCAGCUUAGAAUUGGGACAAAUACAAAGAGAAAAGAAUGAAACUAGCUUUUAAUUUUAGCAAACACAAGCUUUCAUUUGAUAGACCCUUAGAAUCUUCAUGGAUAAAAAUCUUCAGAUUCCCCUUAAAAACAUUUACACUAAACUUAUUUAAAGCUCCUAAGUAGAGAAAUGAUGAAGCAAAAAUCCCAGGUUUAAUCGAAAUCAGUGGUUAUACAGCAUCAUAAGCUAAACUUUAAGGGUUACAGGAUCCAAAGAAGCAGUUUUUGAGAACUAAAUAUAAAAAGAGUAAGAGCAACAAAAGAGGUUUGGUAACUUGUGGAAAUUAAACACCAAAUCUAGCUCACAGACAUUGCUGAAGAAAUGGUCCAAGAUCUCCACAAACAAAUGGAUACUCUCCAGGUAAGCCAACUCAUUGUCGGUUAUAUCCACGCACACAGAGAAAAACAAUCCAGCAUAACGCCUGUAUAUCACCUUGUGUGUUCUAAACUGAAAAUAGUUGCAGAAAACAGUUUUAUCAUUCUAGCUCACAGAACAAUAUUGGUUUCUUAAUCACAUUUUCAUGUCUCAUAAGACACAUAUCUACUUCUCUAUACAUAUAUUGAAUGAGUUGGGUUACUUCUACCUCAGCUUAUAAUAUCUCAAACAACAACUAAUACCUCAACCAGAGAAAAUUCGCAGAUUCGAAUUCGACAGAGCAAUGCUCCUAUACUGUGCUAGUAUCAACAGCCCUAAAUCUCAUAUACAAAACCUGAAUUAAGAAUCAUAUGCAUUCCUACAAUCUGGAGAACCCUAAUCUCAAUUGAGACUUUUAUGUUUAAGAUUGAAAACUUUUAAACCAAAAUCGGCUUUGUUGGUUUAAACCGAUCUUUCUAGAAUUUUAAGUUUUCGAUUUUGAACCAAACAUACGUAAAAAAGUCCGUCGAAAAUACAACUCCUUACUUGAAAUCCUACCGUUUUUGUUCAGCCUCCAUAACUCCAUAGAGAGAAAAACGAUUAUCUUAGCUUCUAUCAUGAUUACAAAUUUAUAUUUGAAUACAUUACUAUGUGUUCAGUUCAUCAUCUUAUAAUUUUUCUAUCAUGUUCGUGUAGUGCUUAUUUAGAAAGCAAGAUAAACAAUUCCUACAGCUUUGGCUAACCUUACUUCACCUUUUGAAUCAGUUAUAUUCUCUAAGUUUAUUUGUUUUAUUUUCAUUGGAAUAACUUUCUAAUUAUUACGUUUGCUAAUUAUUGAACAUGAUCUUAUAAAAGUCGCUACGUUGGGCUUGGAAAACAUGGAAAUAUCCUGUAAACUUAAAAUAUCAUGUGGCGCCAAUAAAUAAUUAUAUAAGUAUGUAGCUUGGAAAUCAUCAACAACUCUCAUUGAAUAACACAAAUCAGUAUGAAAGAGUUCGAUGUUAGGUCCGGUUUGUUUUCAACAUAUUUAAACUUUCAAAUUUUGUAUGUUAUAACUUUUCAAAAUUUGUAUGUUAUAACUUUUCAAAAUCAAAAAUUUACUUAAAAGUUAUAACUUUACUUAAAAUAUAAAAAACCUUAAACCUAAGCGUUAAAUUUUUUACAAUACGUGAUAGCAUGUUGAACUUACACACCACUGACGGACCAUAAAGGGACUGGAUGCUCGGCCCGAUUUGUUUUCAACGUAUUAAAAUUUAACACUUAGAUUCAACCAAAAAAAGAUCAUAUUUACUUAUUAAAAAUUAAAACUAUUUUUACUUGAAAUUUGAAUUAAAAAACCUUGAUAUUUUUAGUUGUAAAACAGGAAAAUAGAAAUGUAAUUCAUAAAAUAUUUUUUUCUUUAUGUAUCUUUUUAUAUCGAAAUCAAUUUUUCUUAAUUUAUUUAAUUUUUUAAAAGUUAGAAAAGUUGAGAUAUUACCUGUGAUAUUUAAGAAUCCUGAAGGCUACAGUGACUCAGACGGUGGUCGUUUCUGAAUUUUGCUAAUCGUAAUACAAAAACAAACCCAUCAGCGCAUUUCAUAAUUGUCAAAAACUCAAAUUACUUUGAUAAAACUAAAGACAACUAUCACGAACCUGCUUAUAAAUAUUCUCCUCUUCAGUAAUGGUCUCUAAUGACUGAAGAAAACAGAGGAUCAAUGGAGCUCAUCAUAAAGACAUUCAUCGAGCCUUGAGUCACCGUCGAACCUUCUCCACCCUGAAACAAAAGCAUAACAUUCAGUUCAAAACAAAGAGAUGAAUGAUAAAUAUGAUACGUGAAUCACAAGGCUAUAACAUGUUUGAUGAUGAACUAAAAAGUACACAAAAUGGCUUGCAUUUGCAUCAAUCCAAAAUCGUAUAUGCAUUUACACACACCUAUGAGAUUCAGUUCUUUAAGUUGCAGAGAGGUAGUAAUUAUUCUAUAUGUGGUCGAGAAGCAACAUGAGCUCAGUAGUAAUAAAAUAAAACAAUGUCAAUGGAAACUCGCAAAUCAAAUCAGUAUACCUCAGGUUAUGAAUGUAGUAAUGCUGAUACUACAUGAUCCUUCUUCUUUCUUGAUAAUUGUGAGGAAGUCCUCUUGAUCCAAAUCUUUAUGAACUAUAGAAAAACCUGCAAAGAAGAGAACAACAACAGAGAAGAACAUCAAUGACCAGCAAAGACAAUAUAUAUAUACUAGAAACUAAUAGGUCUGAAACAAACAAACCUCCUCCUAUCAAAAGGUCUGAAACUUCCUUGUCUACAGAUCAAUGGAUUUGUCAGAAAACCAUAGCUAACACUGUAACGCUCACAUACAAAUACAUAUAACUCUAACAGUUAAGCAACAGAGGAAUUCUAACACAGAAAUACACAAAAAAUCAUAUAAGAAGGAGACAGAGAGAACCACAAAUACUCAUUACAAAACCAAAGAGAGUAAUACGUGAAUCAUCAUAAGGCAAACAUUGGCUUCCAGAUUCAAUGAAGACACAAAUCGAAUCAAAACAACUGUAAUUCCAAAAGGCAAAAGAAUGAUGAUUGCUACAUAAUAAACUCCUAAAAAUUGGAUAAAAGUUCUCAACUUCUAAGACACAAGACCAUAUCCAGCACAGAGGAACAAGAAGAGAUAGAGCUGUACCUUGAAGGGUAAAGAGGAAGCAAGAGCACCACCAUGAGGACGAAGCAGAGGUUAGAUAGAUCCCAAAAACGAACCAGAAGAAGAGAGAUCAAAAGCCUCGAUCAUCACAACCAUGUCUCAAGCCUCAGCAUUCUAUGAUCGCCACUACGUCUCAAGCCUCAGCAUUCUAUGAUAGUUCUCAACUUCUAAGACACAAGACAUCUAAGACACAAGACACAAGACAUCUAACUCCUAAAAAUUGGAUAAAAGUUCUCAACUUGUAAGAGACAAGACAUCAACAACAAGACCAUAUGCAGACAGAGGAACAAGAAGAGAUAGAACGGUACCUUGAAGGUAAAAGAGGAAGCAAGUGCACCACCAUUAGGAGGAAGCAAAAGCAGAGGUUAGAUAGAUCCCAACACGAACCAGAAGAAGAGGAACCAAAAGCAGAGGUUAGAUCCCAAAGAGGAACCAAAAGCAGAGGUUAGAUCCCAAAGACGAACCAGAAGAAGAGGAACCAAAAGCAGAGGUUAGAUCCCAAAGACGAACCAGAAGGAGACGAACCAAAAGUCUGGAUCAUCGCCACCAUGUCUCAAGCCUCAGCAUUCUAUGAUCGCCCUGUUUGCAUAUCUCGAUCAUCAAACCGAAUCUCACAACAACAAAUUAACCAGAGAAAAGCUAUAAAGGUAGAAGCUUUACACCAAC